UACGUAGGGGGCAAGCGUUGUCCGGAAUCAUUGGGCGUAAAGAGCGUGUAGGCGGCCCGGUAAGUCCGCUGUGAAAGUCCAGGGCUCAACCCUGGGAUGCCGGUGGAUACUGGCGGGCUCGAGUCCGGAAGGGGCGAGUGGAAUUCCCAGUGUAGCGGUGAAAUGCGUAGAUAUUGGGAGGAACACCAGUGGCGAAGGCGGCUCACUGGACCGGAACUGACGCUGAGGCGCGAAAGCGUGGGGAGCAAACAGG
rnacentral:rRNA from 1 species